GCUUAACACAUGCAAGUCGAGCGAGAAUCGUUUAUUGAAGGCUUCGGCUGGAAAUAGAUGAGGAAAGCGGCGAACGGGUGAGUAACGCGUGGGCAACCUGGCCUUAAGAAAAGGAUAGCCCCCGGAAACGGGGAGUAAUACUUUAUGAGAAUAGAAAAGGGCAUCCUAUUUCUAUUCAAAGCGCAAGCGCUUAAGGAUGGGCCCGCGUAUCAUUAGCUAGUUGGUGAGAUAACAGCCCACCAAGGCAACGAUGAUUAGCCGGUCUGAGAGGGCGAACGGCCACAUUGGAACUGAGAGACGGUCCAAACUCCUACGGGAGGCAGCAGUGGGGAAUAUUGCGCAAUGGAGAAGAACUCUGACGCAGCAAUACCGCGUGAGCGAAGAAGGUCUUCGGAUCGUAAAGCUCUGUUAUCAGGGAAGAAGAAAAUGACGGUACCUGAUGAGCAAGUCCCGGCUAACUACGUGCCAGCCGCCGCUGUAACAC
rnacentral:rRNA from 1 species